CCUACGGGGGCAGCAGUGGGGAAUAUUGCACAAUGGGGGAAACCCUGAUGCAGCGCCGCCGCGUGAAGAAAGAAGGUUUUCGGAUCGUAACCUUCUAUCAGAAGGGAAGAAGAAGGGGACAGUACCUGACUAAGAAGCCCCGGCUAACUACGUGCCAGGAGCCGGGGUAAUACGAGGGGGGCAAGCGUUAUCCGGAAUCAAGGGGUGAAAGGGGUGCGUAGGCGGCCUUUCAAGUCAGGGGUGAAAGGCUAGGGCUCAACGGUGGUAAGCCUUUGAAACUGUAGGGGUUGAGUGCGGGAGGGGGGAGUGGAAUGGCCGGUGGAGCGGUGGAAUGCGUAGGUAUUGGGGGGAGCACGAGGGGGGGAGGCGGGGGUGUGGAGUGUAACUGAGGCUGAGGCAGGAAAGCGUGGGGAGCGAACAGGAUUAGAUACCCCUGUAGUC
rnacentral:rRNA from 1 species